rnacentral:rRNA from 1 species
UACGUAGGGGGCUAGCGUUGUCCGGAAUCAUUGGGCGUAAAGCGCGUGUAGGCGGCCCGGUAAGUCCGCUGUGAAAGUCGGGGGCUCAACCCUCGGAAGCCGGUGGAUACUGUCGGGCUCGAGUACGGAAGAGGCGAGUGGAAUUCCUGGUGUAGCGGUGAAAUGCGCAGAUAUCAGGAGGAACACCUAUUGCGAAGGCAGCCCGCUGGGACGUAACUGACGCUGAGACGCGAAAGCGUGGGGAGCAAACAGG